rnacentral:rRNA from 1 species
UGGUGGUUUGAAUUGUCUGGUUAAUUCCGUUAACGAACGAGACCUCCGCCUGCUAACUACUUGUUAUGAUACUUUGUAUUGUGCAAGUUCUUAGAGGGACGAUGCAUGUUUUAGUUGCAUGGAAGUUGGAGGCAAUAACA